rnacentral:piRNA from 1 species
UGGAUGGUCUAAUUUGAUUAGUGAUG